rnacentral:rRNA from 1 species
GAUGAAUGCUGGCGGCGUGCCUAAUACAUGCAAGUCGAGCGAACAGACGAGGAGCUUGCUCCUCUGACGUUAGCGGCGGACGGGUGAGUAACACGUGGAUAACCUACCUAUAAGACUGGGAUAACUUCGGGAAACCGGAGCUAAUACCGGAUAAUAUAUUGAACCGCAUGGUUCAAUAGUUAAAGACGGUUUUGCUGUCACUUAUAGAUGGAUCCGCGCCGCAUUAGCUAGUUGGUAAGGUAACGGCUUACCAAGGCAACGAUGCGUAGCCGACCUGAGAGGGUGAUCGGCCACACUGGAACUGAGACACGGUCCAGACUCCUACGGGAGGCAGCAGUAGGGAAUCUUCCGCAAUGGGCGAAAGCCUGACGGAGCAACGCCGCGUGAGUGAUGAAGGUCUUCGGAUCGUAAAACUCUGUUAUUAGGGAAGAACAAAUGUGUAAGUAACUAUGCACGUCUUGACGGUACCUAAUCAGAAAGCCACGGCUAACUACGUG